CAAAUAAAACAUUCUGUUCUCUAAUAAACAGCUCAGCAGAAAGAGAGAGAGGCCAGUAUUUCUGAGGUCUCCAUAGCCUCCCGUUGUUCACUGGAUUAAUUCAGAAGACAUUACCAUGAAGCUUGGGCAGAGCUGGGUUCUUGCUUUGACAAUUUUGAAUGGUGUUCACUGUGAAGUACAUCUGGAGCAGUCUGGAGGAGGCUUUAUUCAGCCAGGAGGUUCCCUGAGACUCUAUUGUGAAGGGUCUGGGUUCACCUUCAGUGACUUCUACAUACACUGGCAUCGCCAGGCUCCAGGAAAGAGUCUGGAGUGGGUGGGUUUCAUCAGAGACAAACCUAGGGGGCACACAACGGAGUAUGCUGCGUCUGUGAAACAGAGAUUCGCCAUCUCAAGAGAUGAUUCCAAGAACACUGCCUACCUUCACAUGAGCAGUCUGAGAGCCGAGGACUCGGUGAUGUAUUACUGCGCCAGAGAAAGAGACACAAUGUCCUGUCCCAGGUUACCCUGAGGGAGUCUGGCCCUGGGCUGUUGCAGCCCUCCCAGACCCUCAGUCUGACCUGCUCUUUCUCUGGGUUUUCACUGAGCACUUCUGGUAUAGGUGUGGGCUGGAUCCGCCAGCCCUCAGGGAAGGGUCUGGAGUGGCUGGCACGUAUUGAUUGGGAUGAUGAUAAGUACUACAACCCAUCCCUGAAGAGCAGGCUCACAAUCUCCAAGGACACCUCCAAAAACCAAGUAUUCCUCAAGAUCACCAGUGUGGACUCUGCAGAUACUGCCACAUACUACUGUGCUCGGAGAGCACAGAGACACCGCCUCAGUUGUCAGCUGUACAAUAUUUCAGGCUGGUUCUCAGCUCCAUUUCUUCCUAUUACAGGACAGGGUGGUAGUGAGUGGGGCACACUUUUUCCUGCUAGCCUCUGGAGUUUCCUCUUGACUUUGAGUUCAGAGCCCUGGUUUCCUGUCAUAUCUGCUAAGUCCCUUUUCAGAUGUUCAGAAAUAAGUGUCUGCCUUUGUUUGGCUUUAUAAACAUAAAGGGUAUCUGGUGCCUAAGCCAGGUGGUUCAGAGCUGUGGUUCCACCCAGUUUUUGGUGUCAAUUCCCCACAGUAGUUUAUUCCAAAUUAUUGUAAUGUUCACCUUCAGUUAGCAAGUGGAUAUGGGGAAGAUGGCAUCAGUGAAUCAGCACACAUAUGUUGAGUCUUCGGACAUAGGAGUCCCAUGGACCCACUAUCCCCCCAAAUAUCUCAGGAUAUUGCCAAGGCGAUUGGUUGCUCUCCACAAACUGAUGAUAAGGCCACCUGACUGAAGACAACACUUUGGAUUUAGUGAAUGCAGAGAAGUAGAACUGGAGUCUAACUAGAGGCUUGUUUCUAUUGACUAAUAUUCAGAGUACUGAAAAGUACUUUGCAUGCUAUUGGAGGAGAAAGGUAAUAACCAUCCUAUCUACAAACCCUGUGACUCUCAAUGAUGACCUGGCUGUGAGACACGCUGGUGCAAUAGGGGCUCAAACAUUGUUGAUGUCACCAAGCAUUCUGUGAUUGGAUUUAAGGCCCACUUCCUGAGAUGAGACCCAUGGCCAACAAGCAGAGAGUAGAUAGGUCAUGGACUUAGAGGAAAAUCAAAUACUACUCUUCUGAUAAUGGAAUAUAGCAAUAAAAUGAUUCCAAAUGAUAUUCCUGCAGAUACACAUGAAAAAUGCCAAAUCAGCCAUCAUCAGAGGGUCUUCUUUUAGUAGAUGGCAACUAUUUUAGAGAGCCAAAAUG